rnacentral:rRNA from 1 species
UGGGGAAUAUUGCACAAUGGGCGCAAGCCUGAUGCAGCCAUGCCGCGUGUAUGAAGAAGGCCUUCGGGUUGUAAAGUACUUUCAGUCGGGAGGAAGGUGGUAAGGUUAAUAACCUUAUCAAUUGACGUUACCGACAGAAGAAGCACCGGCUAACUCCGUGCCAGCAGCCGCGGUAAUACGGGGGGUGCAAGCGUUAAUCGGAAUUACUGGGCGUAAAGCGCACGCAGGCGGUUGAUUGAGUCAGAUGUGAAAUCCCCGGGCUUAACCCGGGAAUUGCAUCUGAUACUGGGCAGCUAGAGUCUUGUAGAGGGGGGUAGAAUUCCAUGUGUAGCGGUGAAAUGCGUAGAGAUGUGGAGGAAUACCGGUGGCGAAGGCGGCCCCAUGGACAAAGACUGACGCUCAGGUGCGAAAGCGUGGGGAGCAAACAGG